GUAAAGUACAUACACACAGCUGAAGAGGAAGCUGAGCAAUAGUUAGCAGAUUCCUCUGAAAAGCCUGGGACAGUCUCAAUGGAUCCAGAAAACGAAACGCAAUAUACACCUAACAUUUUGAAGGAAUCAUUAUUGGAGUCCAUUGUAAAGGAGUCACCAAUGAUAGCAAGUUUUCUUACUACAGGGUCUGGUGGUGGUGAAAGCAAUAUGGAAAGAUGUCAGGGCAGAACUAUACCUUGUGUAGAGAAGAUAGUGACUACCUCCUUGGAAACUGAAUUAAAAGAAAAAAUGAAGAGACUGAUAUUUAAAAAAAAAGUAUUGGCAAAAGAGUUACAAGAACAUAAAAAAGAGAUAGCAGCUCUAAGAGAGAUGAUGAUUAAUAUGAAAUCAUCUGAAGAUCAUGAUUUUGAGACAAAGAAGAGAUCAAUAGGAUCAGAUGAGUAAAUACUACAAGAAAUAUCAACCUUUACAAACUUAUUUAUUUCAUUUUUUUCUCUUAUUUUUGCUUGAAUUUGAGAGCUGCGCUGAGAAGCGAAUUGACUGAGAAGACUAUGAUAUACUUAGUGCUAAACUAAGCGGGUUCUGAGAACAUUACUAAACUGCACUCCCUUUUGAAUAAAAUUCCCUUUAAAGUACAAAGCAUUAUACUUUUUCAAAAGUACUUCCAUAUGCUUUUCAUGAUGUUCACUACAUUUGUUUUUUACAUUUAGUUACUUAUGAAUAUGAAUUUUAUUUAUCCUGAUUAGAAUUUCUCAUAAGUCCACACAAUGUUCUGUGUAAUAUUCAGAAUAUUAAUCUCAUUCUUUGCUACAUAUAUGUGGCUUUGUUUAGGACACAUAUUGAUUGAUUUAUAAAGCACUGGGUCACCUAAUUUGUUUAACUAGGGCUCAAGACACAAGAUGCUACUGCUCCAGAUAAAAUGCAGCAGCAAUUCAUCAAAGGAACCUGUAGAUGUCCUCAUAUUAUAACAGAAGAAGCCAAGUCC